rnacentral:misc_RNA from 1 species
GAAAUGCGAUACGUAGUGUGAAUUGCAGAAUUCUGUGAACCAUCGAAUUUUUGAACGCAUAUUGCGCUCGAGCCUACUGGCAAGAGCACGCCUGCCUCAGGGUCAUGAACACCUCAAGCCACACCUCUUUUGGUUGGCAUGGAUCUGGCGGUCUCACCGAAAACGUGUGUCCGCUGAAGUGUAGAAGGCUUGUGCAACCGCCCACCUAGUGGGUAGUCGUAAUCACAUUGGUAAUUAGCCAUCGGCUAAAGAGAUGUGGUGCCGACAUGGGAGCGCGUAUGCCUAUGCAGGUUACACCUUCUUCAUUUGACCUGAGUUCAGACGAGACUACCCGCUGAAUUUAA